AGGUGCUAAGCUUAUAGUUCUGGAUCUCCUCGUCAGUGGAUGACCUGGCUCCAGAAUUUCAUCCCUAUUUUUUGUAAGAUCAUCCAUUCAUACAAAGCCCUGGUGAUCUUGUCACAUGUGCUGCAAAAAUCAUGGAAUAACACCAGCAUGAUCAUACCAGAAUGAAUGAACCAAGACAUUAUUUCCCUUUUGCAGAAUGAAUAGGAGAACAAUAAUUUCC